rnacentral:rRNA from 1 species
UACGUAGGGUGCAAGCGUUAAUCGGAAUUACUGGGCGUAAAGCGUGCGCAGGCGGUUAUGCAAGACAGAGGUGAAAUCCCCGGGCUCAACCUGGGAACUGCCUUUGUGACUGCAUGGCUAGAGUACGGUAGAGGGGGAUGGAAUUCCGCGUGUAGCAGUGAAAUGCGUAGAUAUGCGGAGGAACACCGAUGGCGAAGGCAAUCCCCUGGACCUGUACUGACGCUCAUGCACGAAAGCGUGGGGAGCAAA